rnacentral:lncRNA from 1 species
GUAAAAUCCGGAUAAGAAUGCUGACUAAGAUCGCAUUUUAUUAACAACGAUUUAAUUAUGUCAACGUGAGGUAAACAAUUUUAGCAGCCGGAUUCAAUUGAAUAAAAUUUUAUGGGAGUAUUUGAAUUCGCAAAAGUAGAUCGCUUAGCAGGUUGAUCAAAAACAUGCUUUUUGUCAAAAUUGGUGUCAAAGCAGACCUCGGCAAAGAAAAAAUUCAAAUUUUGAUAUAACAUUGAUGAAUUAAUUUUAAUGGGCGCCGAUCUUAUAAAAGCAGAUUGCCCAGCAGAGCCGUUUAUGUAACUUGCUUAAAU